GACGUGGGGGGCCAGCGUUGCUCGGAAUUACUGGGCGUAAAGGGUCCGUAGGCGGUGCGGCAAGUCGGGGGUGAAAUCUCUGGGCUUAACCCAGAGGCUGCCUCCGAAACUGCCGUGCUCGAGUGCGGGAGAGGCGAGCGGAAUUGCAGGUGUAGCGGUGAAAUGCGUAGAUAUCUGCAGGAACACCCGUGGCGAAGGCGGCUCGCUGGACCGUGACUGACGCUGAGGGACGAAAGCUAGGGGAGCAAACAGG
rnacentral:rRNA from 1 species